rnacentral:rRNA from 1 species
UACGGAGGGUGCGAGCGUUGUCCGGAAUCACUGGGCGUAAAGGGCGCGUAGGCGGCCUGGUAAGCGUGCGGUGAAAGCCCGGGGCUCAACCCCGGGUCGGCCGUGCGAACUGCGAGGCUCGAGCACUGUAGAGGCGGGUGGAAUUCCGGGUGUAGCGGUGGAAUGCGUAGAGAUCCGGAAGAACACCAGUGGCGAAGGCGGUCUGCUGGGCAGUGGGAGCUUCGGCUCUCUUUAGCCGACACUGAGGCGCGACAGCGUGGGGAGCAAACAGG